AUAUACACAUAUUAUAUAGGGCAAAUCUCCAAAAUAGCACAUUUCUAAGUUUAUGUCACAAAAAUAGUCUUCAAAAACAAAAAUGACCAAAAUAGCAUUUUAUCUUUUGAAAAAUUUAAAUUUUUUUUAUUUUUCAAAAUUUGAAAUCUUAUCCCAAAACCCCACUCUCCAACUCUAAACCUAAAACCUAAACUCUAAACCCUAAACCCUAAAUCCUAAACACUAAACCCUAAAUCCUAAACCCCACUCCUUAACUCUAAACCCCACCCUUAAACUCUAAACCCUAAACCAUAAACCCUAAAUCCUAAACCCUAUACCAUAAAUCCUAAAUCUCACCCCUUAACUCUAAACCCAUUAAUUUACCAUUAGGAUAUAAGUGUAUAUUUAUUUAUUUUGAUAAAACAUUAAGUGCUAUUUUGGUCAUUUUUAUUCUUAGAAGCUAUAUUUGUGACAAAAAAAAAUUUAGUGCUAUCCUAGUCAUUUUCUCUAUUAUAUACAAAAUAAAAUAAAAUAAAAAUUUACAAAUCAAUUAUUAGAAUCUAGUAUAAAAAAUGAAGUUGACAUUUGCUGACGCCAUUUGACAGAAGUUAGGUUCAAAAGUGCAAAUGAUAUAUUUCUCUGAUUAGUAUAUAACAUCUAACAUUUUUUUUAUUUAACCAACGCGGUUGGUCUAAAGGUAGUUGAGGCCCAGAACCAAUACGCUUCCCGCAGGUUCGACUCGUGUUGGCCACCCGGGCUAGUGUUAAAUCCCAAGAAUACGUGGAAUGCCGUGAGCCUCGCGGGAAUAAUCGGUUGACCACGGUCGCCGGAAACCCACGGUUAUCUAAAAAAAAAAAAUCUAACAUUUUCUUUAUUUUUAUUGUUUCACGUGGCUCUCCUUAAUCGUAAAAUAACUAUAUGAAAAGAGGACGUACCAAGCCUUAUAAUAUUUUAUCUUAUGAAUACGAACGGAUAGAGACGUAUCGAUAUAUUGCACCUCUAAUGGUUAUAAAAAAAGAAGAAAGCAACUCGAGAUAGAUACUCGGGAUUAUCAAACCAUUUAUUAUUAAGUACUCUCUAUGUUUAAGUUUCGGCACACAUAUUAUAAAAACAAUUAAUUUUGUAUAUUUUCUAUAAAAAAACACUAUUACUUAUAAAUCUAACCAUAUUUCAACCAAUAAAAAAAAUAAAUUUUGCAUAACAUUAAUAAAUUUUGGAUUGAAAAUCGAAAACGACACUUAUUUUGUAACGAAAAAAAUUCUCUAAAACGAUACUUAAUAUGAAACGGAGAGAGUACAAUUUAAUCCUGCAAUUAUAUGAUCUGAUCAAUGUAUCUGCAAACCAAAACUCAGAAAAUUAUUCGCAUUUUUAACUUUUAUUUAGUGGGGUUACGCGUCCAUGAAAAAUAUGGAUUAGAGAAAGGCUUACGUAAUCUAAACAGAUAGGUUAAGUGAUUAAUUAAUUAAUUAAUUAGUGUUGGAAGAGAAAGCACGAGUGGAUCACUACCUUAAUUUGAUUGUUUAAGUACUAUUGUAGCAACAUACUUUUUAAUAGAAAAUGAUUCUGAGUUCGAUCAAGAGACUGAAACCAAUAGGUAGCAAACAAGCCUUUGAUAGAUGUUUAUAAGCGAUAAAAUGGACCUCCCAAGAUUAAUAUUAUCAUCAUAACUGUGUAUCCCAAUUUCUUUUUCAGUCAAUUAAUAGUUAAUAAAGAUAAGAUUACAAGUCUUGAAUAUAAAAUAACCAACAGAGAUCAUGAAAAAAAAAAAAAAUGUGGAAGUGUUUUAAAUUAUGUGGGGACUGGUCAUACAUAAUUCAUCAAAAAAUCAAAAUUUUCCAUACACUCUUCUUCUUUAAGCCCUUUGAAUGAUCAUAUAUCGUCGCAAUUUGAUUUGUAGUUGAGAUGUAUUUCUUUUCUUGUUGCUAUAGGAAUUUUCCAGUGAAGUUAGCAUUCUACACUAGGACCUCUUAAUGUGAUUUUCUAGCACACUACGGUAUAUUUUAGGAUCAUCAACGAAAACUUAUUUUAUAAAUUCUUAUUUCAAAAAGAUAGAUUUUGUAAAUUCUUUUAGGCGGUAUAAGGUUUAUAAGAAUAUAUUCUCAUACAUAUUUAAGUGUGUCUGUAACUUGUAAGUUACAAAUUGGAGCUUUAAUUAAACUUUACGUGUAUGCUUAUGCAUAAUCUACAUAAUCAAAAGAUAGCAUUGAUCAUCUUUAUUCGACAUUUUGUAUUUGCUUUCUUCAUUUAGAUAAUUAUGUAGGUUUAAAUGAUUAUAUUUAAUGUGGAGAAAAUAACGAGAAUAGAAGUUAAGCAUGUAAAUAAAUGGUUUAAGUUAUGUCUUGCUGAAUUGUUAUUUGGUGCAUUAGUUAGUGAUUAUUGGCCACGAGUGGUCACAAGAAAAUGUUUGGACCUACUCAUAACAAAUUUCAGGACUCAGCUAUCAAAUUAUAUCGUGUUUCUGUCCAAAUAUAUUUAAUUUUCUUUGGACAAUAAGAUGUUUUUAAAAAGGUUAUGUUAGCCACUAAACUCCGGUUCGCUCUUCGCAAGCUUCGUAGUAGAUACGUCUAUUUUGUGUAUAUGUAUAGUUAUGAACUGAACGUAUGUACUUGAACAAGAAAAAACCAUACAAUAUUUCUCAAAGAAAAGCAUCCAAAUAAUUUUUAAACAAGGUAUAGUAGAUUUGACAUAUGUUGUAUCACACACAUUCGAUAAGAAUCUAAGUGUUAUUGAUAGUCGGAUGCAUCUUUCUAAAAUUCUUGUAACAAGCCAACGCUUCUUUCUUUCUAUAAAAAAAGCCAACGCUUCUUUCUAUAAAUCUCUGCAUAUUUUGCUAUAGUAUUUUCCACUGAACUGUCAAUUUGAUAUAUCAAAAAGGGAUUUGAACGAUUUUUGUUUCUUUCUGAAUAAUCUUUUUUUAAUAUAUACUUCUUUCAAAAAUGAACUGAAAACCAAGUGUAGAGUCACAUGAUGUUGAUCAUUGAGGCUGAUUAGACGAAGGUUUGUGUAUAAGGGCCAGUUUCUUGCCUUCCACAUACCUUUUUCAAAGAAGUUUUUCAAUUAUAGGGUUGAUGAAUACAACAUGGUAAAUAUCAAAAUAAGAACCAUUUUAAAGGUUAAGGCAAAACAAGAAAGUUAUAAACUGAAAGCGAAAAACAUAUUAAAAAGUAUUUAAAACCAAAACUUGAAUUAGAAAGCAUCCACCAACUAAAAAAAGUAAAAGGAAGCUUCACAUAUAUUUCCAAACAAAAUUAGUGGCGAGAACCCAUUUUAGUCGAGAAUGGUUAAUCUAACUAAAAACAAUACUUAAUUCUCCAAACCAAGAAGGACAAGUAAGAUAAGAUCACAAAACCAAAAUAACCAUAACGUCAGCCGGAACAAUAAACAGCCUCAAUUCUCCAAAGAAAUCUCCAACGCCAAGAAAAUAGGUGACACAAACCUGCUUAACUAAAACCGCGUACAAAGAUUCAACACAGGGUCAUCUCGAAAUUUAAAGGAUCAUAAACAUUUUAAAAUAAAUUUGAAUAAAAAAUUACUAUAAUUUGACGUCAUAUGGUCUAUCUAUAUUGUUAGUUUCAAAACAUUUGAGGGUUAAACCAUUAUGCUUUACCCAGAACCAGGGCCGGCUAAGUAGGAGACAAGGGGUAUGACCGCUCCGGAUACAAGCUCUGUGUACUCUAAUACAUUAAUAGUUAAAGAGUCUAAUUUCUUUUAUAUAUAAGGUGUAAUCUCCUAUAUAAGGAACCUCUAUGUUAUGAAUAAAAACAGAUUUUUCCAUUACUUUUAUAACACGUUAUCAGCACGAAACUCUAAAAUCCCUAAGCUAAGAAACCAAAUCGAUAAAAACCCUAAAACCCUAACCCUAGCCGGCGAACCGACGACCCCUAAUCCCGAUCGCGUCUCUUGUUCCCGUGUCUGUUCCAGCUCGCAUCCCCGUCUCAGCUUCAGACGAUCUCAGUCCGAUCUCAGCCUCAGCCCGUAUCCCGGACAGCUCGCGUUCCCGAUCAGACGUCUGCAAGCCGAUAGCGAUUGGCGCACAAGCAUACCGUUCGCGUUCCCGACGAUCAAGGCGUACCCGAUCAGCUCGUGUCUAGCUCGCGGAUAGCUCGCGUUCAUUCCCGUUUGUGUUGCAGCUGGCGGUUCAUAAUCUUUGGUGGUCCGGUUUCAACAAUCAUCUAAGUUAAAGGUAAUUCGAAACCUAAGAACCUAUAAUCGAAUUUGGAUUGAUUGAUAAAGAAUGAAACCCUAAAACCCUAAUCUUUAUGAAUCAAAACCAUAGGGUAAUAGAUCAAAAAUCCUGUAUGAUAGGUUAUAUUGAUCUGAUUUGGAUGUCUUUGAGAAUUGAGAAUCUGUAUGCUAGGUUGAUAUAUUCAUGAUAAAAUCUAAUGUCUUGAAGUUUAAAAUUGUAUGCUAAGUUCGAUUAAAUUGAUUGAUCUGAUUAUAUGUUUUUGAGGUUUGAUAAAUUUGGAUACUAGAUAAAUUAUUUACACAUAGUUUAUGCUAAAUACCAAUCAGCCUUGAAACUGAUUCAUUGAAAUUCAUGCUUGAAAUCUAUAUUCUAGUAUUGCUAAAAUCAGCCUUGAAACUGAUUCAUUGAAAUUCAUGCUUGAAAUCUAUAUUCUAGUAUUGCUAAAAUCAGCCUUGAAACUGAUUGAGUGAUUAAUAAAUCUUUUUACUAGUCUUGCUAAAAUCCAUUGAUUGUUAAACCCUAAUUGCAUGAUUAAUUGAAUCCGUUUUUGCUAGUCUUGAUAAACCAUAAUAUUAUGAGCACAUAGAAAUAGUAUUGCUGAGACUUGCUAGAAAUUGACUGAUUGAUUAAAUGCCUUUAAGAUUGAUAGUCUCAUUGUCCUCACAAGAUUGAAAUCCGAAUUGAUUGUUUUUAAGAGUAAGGCCGCAUGAAAAUUAUACCUAAAUAUUGAGUGAUAUAUGAUUUGAGAUGUCGAAAAUCAACCUGGAUUUUGCUGCCCUAAAUCUCUCUGGAGAUAAUUAUUUACGGUGGGCAUUGGAUACAAAGAUUAUCCUAAAGUCAAAAAGACUUGGUGAAUGUAUCAUAGAAGGCAAUAAUGCCAAUGAGAAAGAUUGAUACAUGGCAAUAUUAAUUAUUAGCCAUCAUCUUAUUAAGAGUCUCAAAGAUCAGUAUCUGACUAUAGAGAAUCCUCUAGACCUUUGGACAGAGUUAAAAAUCGAGAUAUGAUCACCAAAGAACGGUGUUAUUACCAAAGGCCCUAUUUGAUUGGAGGAAUCCCAGAAUCCAGGACUAUAAGUCCGUGGAUGAGUCUAUUGCUAGCUGGGCAAAAUAAUGGAUUACUGAUGAGAAACAGUGAAUUGAGACCUCCUGGAUUAACCCCAUUACCUGAUACCAAUAAGGCCGCAGAAAAAAAAAAAAAGGUAACCACGUCCAGAAUGAUAGACCACACGGUCAUGGCCGUGGAGGGUGGAAAGGACGUGGCCAUGGCCACUAUAACACAUUUGGCCGUGGGAAUCACUAUGGCAGAGGCCGUGGGUAUCAACCCAAUUUGAGCCAUGGUCAAGGCAGUGGCCGUGGUAUAUCCUUUAAACCACAAAGCUCGACCAAAUCAGUGUGCCAUAGAUGUGGAAUGGGGAACCAUUGGGCUAAGAUAUGAAGGACUCCCAAACAUUUUUGUGACCUCUAUCAAAGAGAGUCUGAAAGGGAAGAAUCCUGAAACCCACUUGGUCUAUAAAGAUGGUGAAAAUAAUUUCGAACAUGAUCAAGAUGAUCUUAUGGAAUAUGAGACUUAUGAUUGCCUAAAAGAAUCAAGUUGAUAAUCUGAUUUCGACAUCAAACUUGUGUGAUUGCUUUGCUUGUAUGCUUUCUCUGAUUUUUAUCUCCUUGAAUUUAUUUCUAUUACAUUGUCUGCUUAGAUUAAAUGAAUGAAUGAUUUUUCUAUAUGAGUACACUGAAAAACGCCAAUAUAAGUACUAAAGCAGGUAUCGCCAGUCUGAAAGAAGACUAUGGCUAGGCUAAUAUAUUAUUGCCUAAGGGUAUGCAUCUAGAAAUCAGUGAUGCCUUAUAUUCACCCAGCUCUAAGAGCAAGAGCAGCCUAUUGAGUUUUAAAGAUAUAAGAAUGAAUGGUUUCCAUAUUGAAACAAUGGGCGAAGGAAACAAAGAGUUCCUUCAGAUAUAUGUAUAAAAUCGCCCAAGGCCAUAAUAAGUCCUAAAGACUAUACCUGCAUUCUCUACUGACCUAGACUAUGCAUAGAUCAGUAUGAUAGAGGCUAAAAGCCUGCGAAAAUAUACACUUUAUGGCACGACCGGAUUGGCCAUCCUGGUCCAAACAUGAUGCGAAAAUUGAUAUUCAAAAGGCACACAUUAAAAGAUAAGAAGAGUUAUCCCAAAGAAUCUCACGUGUGUAGCAUGUACACAAGGGAAACUCAUUAGGCCAUCACCAGUAAAACGGCUACGAGCCCCUUUUUCAUAAAUAAAGACUAUAUGUCUAGAUAAUACUGGUGAAUACAUGUCCCAAGCGUUUAAAUGAUUAUGGUAUGUCCAUGGGGGUAAGUGUGGACAAUUCUGUGAUACAUGUCCAUACCAAGAACGGCUUGGCCAAAAUCUUUUAAAACGCAAAUAGCUGAUUGAUAGACCAUAACUUAUGAGGUCAAAACUCUCAUUCACAGCUUGGGCCACACGAAAUUUACAUGCACCUAAGUUAAUACACAUCAGGCCAUUUAGUGAGCAUAGAUAUCCCCUAUCACAAUUAUUAACGGGUCAAGAGCCAGACAUACCCCAUCAUAAGACAUUUGGAUGUGAUGUCUAUGUAUUAAUUGCUCCACCACAGAGAACUAAGAUGGGACCUCAAAAGGAGGAUGGAGAUAUAUGUUGGAUAUGAUUCUCCCACAAUAAUAAAGUACUUUGAGCCAACUAUGGGUGAUUAUAUUUGAGGCUAGGUACAAAGAUAUUUUAAGACCAGGAGGAAAAAAAUAAUAAAACUGGUAAAAGAAUGGUAAAAGAAAUAGAAUAGAAUCAACCAUCAAUGUCUUGGCAAGAUCCCCGGACUAAAGAAUGUGAAAUAGACGUCCAAAGAUUAUACAUUUACAAAGCUAGCUAAUCAAAUGCCAGACACAUUUGCUUACCCGAAAAAGAAUGACUAUGUCAUAUAUAAACCAGCUUGUAAAGCACCAGAAUUUGAUGUCCAAGAAGAGACACAGUUAAGUUGCUAUAGAGUCUAGACAACGUAUGAAACGUGGUAGGCCAAUAGGUUUCAAAAGAUAAGAAUCCUAGGAAACUAAAGAAAGAUGCAGAGAAUGAUAAUCAAAAUCAAAAUCCAAAUCCGAGGUUACUAAGGAAACCAUCCCAGACAUGGAGAUGAGGCCGACUGGCUCUAAGGUACAGGUACCAAACAAUGUAGCUUGGGACGCCAAGCUGCAAAGUAUUAAAGGUCCUGAUAAUAAUGAAUCUCAAUCGAUUAUAUCAUGUCUGGAACAUAAUGGAACCAAUAAGGAAUGUAGACAUAAGAUGAUUUAUUUGCAUACAAGGUAGCACUUGAAUUUAUGAAUAUAAGCGAGGAUCAUGAACCCACAUCAAUAUAAGAGUGCGCACUCGUAGAACAUAUUGGAUUGAAUGGAAACGUGAGGUUAAAUAGUUUAAGGAAGAAAGGCGUAUUUGGCCAUAUGAUUAAGACGUCAUAUAAUGUUAAAACCAAUAGAUAUAAAUGGGUCUUGUGAGGAAUAGAAAUCGGGAGAUAUAAAGCUGAUGUUGCACAAGGAUUCUCACAAAGACCAGUAAUAGAUUAUGAGGAGACAUACUCCCAUGUGGUGGAUGCAACUACUUUUAGAUUUCUCAUAAGUCUGGCUAUAUAAGAGAGAAAAUUAGACUUGCAGCAAGUUGAUGUAGUGACUGCAUAUUUAUAUGGUCCACUGGAUAAUGAAAGUACUAGAGGGUAUUGAGCUGAAAGUACAGCAAGUUCUCGAGAACAAUAUUGAUAAUCAUCAAAGUAUAUGAUCUGAAUAUCCUAUGAACCUCUGGAUACAAUUUCUCAAACAGUUGAAUAUCUCAAGAAAGAGUUUGAGAUGAAAGAUCUUGGAAAACAAAGUUUUGUUUGGGAUUACAGCUUGAGUACAUUAACAAUGAAAUCCUUGUGCAUCAAAUAGUAUAUACAGAAAAGGGUACUCAAGAGAUUUAAUAUGGACCAGUCUCACCCAUUAUCUAGUACAUGGGCGUGAGAUCACUUGUUUUGGACACUGAUCCAUUCAGUCCAAAGGUGGACGAUAAAGAAGUCCAUUUAGUCAUGAGAUGGACGAUGCAGAAGUCUUGUUUUAGACACUGAUCUGUUUGGUCCAUAAGAAGGACGAUGAAGAAGCCUUUGAUUUUGGUUUAUUUUAUACUAACCAGCCUAAAUAGAGGUUAUUUGGUUUUGUUGAUUUGUUUUUCAGACAAGUUAUGUUUUACACAUGGUGGUACACGCAUAUCACAUCAACAUCAUCCAAGAUUUCGUGUGUGUGUAUUUGAGGUUGAUGACUCAAUAUGUUCAAUCAGAUUGUGGCAUGGCCGAUGGUAAAGAAGAACCAACUAUCAUGUUCGAGGACGAAGCAUAUUCUGCCCAAGAUCUUCAUCACCCACGGAUUGCAGAAAAUUGGAGAGAUCCAAAGGACCUUCAGUAAUGUCCAAAUCAGGGGGAGUAAUGUGUGUUAUACUUUUUUUCCUUCACCAUGGUUUUGUCAUAAUUGGGUUUUCCUGAUAAUGUUUUAAUGAAGCAAUAUUAAAGCACAUUACAAGCUCUAUGGCAUCCAAGGGGGAGUGUUAUGAACUAGAUUGUGGAUGGUUCAUAACCAAAAGAUUAUGAUUUGUAAUCUUUUCAUUUAUCUAUGACGGUGUAAUCUUCUAUAUAAGGAAUCUCUAUGUUAUGAAUAAAGAUAGACUUUUUCUUUACUUUUAUAACACAAAAUAGCAUUUUUUAUUUUGAAAUUUUUUAUUUUUUUAUUUUUUUUUAAUUUGAAAUCUUAUCCCUAAAACUCCACUUCUCUAACUCUAAACCCUAAACUCUAAACCCUAAACCCUAAACCUUAAACUCUAAACUCUAAACC
rnacentral:lncRNA from 1 species